UACGUAGGGUGCGAGCGUUGUCCGGAAUUAUUGGGCGUAAAGGGCUCGUAGGCGGUCUGUUGCGUCAGGAGUGAAAACCCGGGGCUCAACCCCGGGCCUGCAUUCGAUACGGGCAGACUAGAGUUCGGUAGGGGAGUCUGGAAUUCCUGGUGUAGCGGUGAAAUGCGCAGAUAUCAGGAGGAACACCGGUGGCGAAGGCGGGACUCUGGGCCGAUACUGACGCUGAGGAGCGAAAGCGUGGGGAGCGAACAGG
rnacentral:rRNA from 1 species